rnacentral:rRNA from 1 species
UACGGGGGGGGCAAGCGUUGUUCGGAAUUACUGGGCGUAAAGGGCUCGUAGGUGGCCAACUAAGUCAGACGUGAAAUCCCUCGGCUUAACCGGGGAACUGCGUCUGAUACUGGAUGGCUUGAGUUUGGGAGAGGGAUGCGGAAUUCCAGGUGUAGCGGUGAAAUGCGUAGAUAUCUGGAGGAACACCGGUGGCGAAGGCAGCUCGCUGGGACGGUACUGACGCUAAGGCGCGAAAGCGUGGGGAGCGAACAGG